GACAGGACAAUGAGAUCAACAGCCUGAUCCAACAGAGCCAUUUUAUGUUCAUGUAUUUGCAGCAGUGCAGCUGAAAGUAUUGUUUCAAGUCUCCAUUUAGUAGAAGGCAGUGCAGAGCUCUGGUCAGUCCUGUUGAUUUGAAUGGGCACUGAAGAUACUCAAAUUGCUUCAGCAACUUCAUUCCCUUCCUAGAAAAGUGAUGUUCUGAGAUCCCAGUGACUUGGACCUGGGGCCUGACAUAGAUGCCUGCCAACCUAGCAAGAUUGUGCAGAUGAAAAAUAACCAAAGGAAGGACUCGGUACCCUGACAUCCCCAGAGAAGAGGAAUAGGAUUUCUCAGAGCCAGACUUCAUUGUUCUUUGAUUCAACUUCUACAUCUGGCUGAUGAAACAUGCCCUCCUUAUCUUUGAUGAUCUGCAAAUGUAUAAAGGUGGAGUAUACAUCUCAGAAUGACACACUGGCCAACAUGCAGGCCUGGGCCAGGAAGAGGAAAGCUCUUCAGAUGCCAUUCAUCACAUCCUUCUCCUUUGACACCUGGGACAUCAGCACUGCCUUCAAAGAGGGGACCUUAACCUUCCUUGGCCAGUUUUGACUCAGAUGUUACUUAGGCAUAUGCCCACAGGAAAAGAACACAAGAGCAGCCAGUCUGGCUCAGAUCACCCCUCAACUUUCAACAUGGCCUCAACACUUGCCGUUACCUGUGUGUAGACUUCACUUGUUUCCUAUUGAGCCAAAAUAACAAUAGAAGAUUGCCU